UUCAGACUUUAAUGCUCAAUUAAAUUGAGCUAAUUAGUGAUCUAAUCACUGACUAAUCCUCCAUUAAUAAUAGAGUCCCAGUCAAAUGGGAUUCUUCAGCAGAGUCUCAAUCCAAUUGGAUUCUUCAGCAGAGUCUCAGUCCAGUGAAACUCUUCAGAUCAGUCAUUUGAUCCGAGAGCAACUUCUAAUGUAUGUGACCCCAUAGAUUCGAACCUAAGUCGGUAGCACAGGAACAGAUUUCUAUAUCAAUUGGAGUAACUAUAUAGGAAUGGCACCUGACGUUCAAAUAGACCGAAUGUAUACAAAGCAACGCUCAAAAACCUACUUGGAUACAAUUACCGUAUAAUUCAUCCCUUUGACCCUUGAUGUAAGGAUGACUUAGAGUUUAAACUGUCAACUCCUAACAGUAUAUCCAUUAUGUGUCUCAACUUAAUAAAUUCUAUGACUCCUCACAAGGACUGCCCUGGCC
rnacentral:lncRNA from 1 species